UACGUAGGGUGCAAGCGUUGUCCGGAUUCAUUGGGCGUAAAGAGCUCGUAGGCGGUCUGCCACGUCGGAUGUGAAAACUCGGGGCUUAACCCCGAGCCUGCAUUCGAUACGGGCAAACUAGAGUGUGGCAGGGGAGACUGGAAUUCCUGGUGUAGCGGUGAAAUGCGCAGAUAUCAGGAGGAACACCGGUGGCGAAGGCGGGUCUCUGGGCCAAUACUGACGCUGAGGAGCGAAAGCGUGGGGAGCAAACAGGAUUAGAUACCCUGGUAGUCCACGCCGUAAACGGUGGGUGCUAGGUGUGGGGAACCUUCCACGUUCUCUGUGCCGCAGCUAACGCAUUAAGCACCCCGCCUGGGGAGUACGGCCGCAAGGCUAAA
rnacentral:rRNA from 1 species